UCCCGUUGAUCCUGCGGGAGGUCGCUGCUAUUAGGAUUCUAUUUAGCCAUGCAAGUCAGGGGUUCUUCGGAACACCGGCGAAAGGCUCAGUAACACGUCGAUAAUCUGCCCUUAGGUCUGGGAUAACGUCGGGAAACUGACGCUAAAACCAGAUAGGGGAUUAAGGCUGGAACGCAUUUUCCCUUAAAAGCAAUGCCUAAGGAUGAGUCGGCGGCUGAUUAGGUUGUUGGUGAGGUAAUGGCUCACCAAGCCCAAGAUCAGUAGGGGUCUUGAGAGAGAUAGCCCCGAGAAGGGCACUGAGAUACUGGCCCUAGCUCUAAGGAGUGCAGCAGGCGAGAAAACUUUACAAUGCACGAAAGUGUGAUAAGGGAAUCCUAAGUGCUAAUGUUCUGCAUUGGCUUUUGCCAAGUGUAAGGAGCUUGGCGAAUAAGUGGUGGGUAAUACUGGUGCCAGCCGCCGCGGUAACACCAGAGCCACGAGUGGCAAUCGCAAUUAUUGGGCCUAAAGCGUCCGUAGCUGGUUUGUUAAAUUUCCUGUGAAAUUGCUAGGCUUAACCUAGCAGCGCGCAAGAAAGACUGGCAGACUUGGGACCGGGAGGAGACAAGAGUAUUCCAGGGGGAGCGGUAAAAUGCUAUAAUCCUUGGAGGACUACCUGUGGCGAAGGCGCUUGCCUAGAACGGGUCUGACAGUGAGGGACGAAAGCUAAGGUAGCGAUCGGGAUUAGAUACCCCAGUAGUCUUAGCUGUAAACUCUGCGAGCUAUGUGAUGCAUAUUCUUAGUGGAUAUGCAGCGCCUAAGUGAAGACGUUAAGCUCGCCGCCUGGGAAGUACGGCCGCAAGACUGAAACUUAAAGGAAUUGGCGGGGGCUCGCUACAAGGGGUGCGGCGUGCGGUUUAAUUGGAUUACACCGGAAAUCUCACCAGGGGCGACGGCAGGAUGAAGGUCAGGCUAAUGGUCUUACCUAACGAGCCGAGAGGUGGUGCAUGGCCGUCGUCAGUUCGUGCCGUAAGGUGUCCUGUUAAGUCAGGCAACGAACAAGACCCACGCCCACAUUUGCCAACGUUUCUUACGAGAAGAACGGGCACAAUGUGGGGACUGCUCUAGAAAUGGAGAGGAGGGUGUGGGCAACGAUAGGUCAGUAUGCCCCUAAUCUCCUGGGCUACACGCGCGCAACAAUGGUAGGGACAAUGGGAUGCGACUCUGAAAAGAGGAGCCAAACCUCUAAACCCUAUCCUAGUCUAGAUUGAGGAUUGUAACCCAUCCUCAUGACAAUGGAAUCCCUAG
rnacentral:rRNA from 1 species